rnacentral:rRNA from 1 species
CGAAAGCCUGACGGAGCAAUACCGCGUGAGGGAGGAAGGCUCUUGGGUUGUAAACCUCUUUUCUCAGGGAAGAACAAAAUGACGGUAUCUGAGGAAUCAGCAUCGGCUAACUCCGUGCCAGCAGCCGCGGUAAUACGGAGGAUGCAAGCGUUAUCCGGAAUGAUUGGGCGUAAAGCGUCCGCAGGUGGCAUUGAAAGUCUGCUGUCAAAGGGUCUGGCUCAACCAGAUAAAGGCAGUGGAAGCUACAAAGCUAGAGUACGUUCGGGGCAGAGGGAAUUCCUGGUGUAGCGGUGAAAUGCGUAGAGAUCAGGAAGAACACCGGUGGCGAAAGCGCUCUGCUAGGCCGUAACUGACACUGAGGGACGAAAGCUAGGGGAGCGAAUGGGAUUAGAUACCCCAGUAGUCCUAGCCGUAAACGAUGGAUACUAGGUGUUGCUUGUAUCGACCCGAGCAGUACCGUAGCUAACGCGUUAAGUAUCCCGCCUGGGGAGUACGCAGGCAACUGUGAAACUCAAAGGAAUUGACGGGAGCCCGCACAAGCGGUGGAGUAUGUGGUUUAAUUCGAUGCAACGCGAAGAACCUUACCAGGGCUUGACAUGUCGCGAAUCCUUGUGAAAGCAGGGAGUGCCUUCGGGAGCGCGAACACAGGUGGUGCAUGGCUGUCGUCAGCUCGUGUCGUGAGAUGUUGGGUUAAGUCCCGCAACGAGCGCAACCCUCGUUUUUAGUUGCCAUCAUUAAGUUGGGCACUCUAGAGAGACUGCCGGUGACAAACCGGAGGAAGGUGGGGAUGACGUCAAGUCAGCAUGCCCCUUACGUCCUGGGCUACACACGUACUACAAUGCUACGAACAGAGGGCAGCUAACCAGCGAUGGCAAGCUAAUCCCGGAAAUCGUAGCUCAGUUCAGAUCGCAGGCUGCAACUCGCCUGCGUGAAGUUGGAAUCGCUAGUAAUUGCAGGUCAGCAUACUGCAGUGAAUUCGUUCCCGGGCCUUGUACACACCGCCCGUCACACCAUGGAAGCUGGUAGUGCCCGAAGUCAUUACCCCAACCUUUCGGGGAGGGGGAUGCCUAAGGCAGGACUGGUGACUGGGGUGAA